rnacentral:rRNA from 1 species
GCUUGUCUCAAAGAUUAAGCCAUGCAUGUCUAAGUAUAAGCAAUUUGUACUGUGAAACUGCGAAUGGCUCAUUAAAUCAGUUAUAGUUUAUUUGAUCUUACCUUACUACUUGGAUAACCGUGGUAAUUCUAGAGCUAAUACAUGCAAAAAUGGGCGACUUCUGGAAGGGAUGUAUUUAUUAGAUUAAAAACCAAUGCCCCUCGGGGCUCUCUGGUGAAUCAUGAUAACUAGUCGAAUCGACAGGCCUUGUGCCGGCGAUGGCUCAUUCAAAUUUCUUCCCUAUCAACUUUCGAUGUUUGGGUAUUGGCCAAACAUGGUGGCAACGGGUAACGGAGGGUUAGGGCUCGACCCCGGAGAAGGAGCCUGAGAAACGGCUACUACAUCCAAGGAAGGCAGCAG